AAAAACUUCACUUGUGCAGCAGCACUAGCAACAGAAGGCAGAGAGGAAGACACGACUCUUCAGACAACAAAAUGGCAGUAUUUUUGCUGAACAUCAGAGUAACCAGACUGCAGUAAAGGACUUCUCUAGUACUUUACAGAAAAACUGAGGCAGCUUGUGACAUUGUGGGAGUGAGGCUUUCUCCUGAUGCAGGGCACAAUAUGUUCAGCAGUUCCUAGUACUUCCACAGAGGGAGAGAGGAUUAAACCUGCUGUUACUGUUGCAUGUAGCUGCAGCUGGGAGGUAGCAUGUUUAGAUGUGCUUUUCAUUCUCUGAAGCCUGCCAUAUAUGUUAAUGUCCACAGAAGAACAAGAUUAAUCAGAACCUAACCUGACCUUGUCUUGUGAAUAGAACUGAUCCCAUCUUACAGCACCAGAACACGACAGUUUCAGGGAGCUCUUCUUCGUUGCCCAUCAAGCAAGCAGGGAAAAUACAGAUUGGUACAGAUGCCUGAUAUACCCACUGCCAGACUCAAGAUCUGUAAGAAAAGUCCUGCUCUUCACCAGACAAACAGUGAGGUUUUCUUAAUCUAAAAUUCAUCUUCAAUGAUUUUGCUUAACUGAUAAGACUCCACUCAACAUGUGUGAACAAACUGGAUUUUUUCAGCAUGAUCCUAAAAUGGAUUAAAUGUAUAAGCAUAAACAAAAACACAUUGUAGUUGGUUGGGGUUUUUUUUUGUUUUUUUUUCCUUUGAGGUUGUUUCAUUUCUUUGAGUAUUUCAAUGUGUUCCAUUUAAAUUUUGUUUAUAUAACAAUAUUAUUACUAUUAGUACAUACUAUUAAUACUUAUAGUAUAAUGUUAUAUGUCUUGCAACACUUGACAUGUCUAGUGUUGAACACACUUGUGCUAAUGGCUCUAAAAUUAUAAUCGAUGGCAAUAAAGUCUUAUGAGAAAUAUUAGAACACUUUAAGAGGCAGUCCUACUAACACCACUGAUAAUUUUUCAUUACAAUCUGUUUCUUUACCCAACAGCUAUCCAGGAGUCCCUUAUUCUGAGUUUGUUUUAGUCUUGCGCUCUAGACAAUCAAAUUCAUUUAAUGUUUAUUUGUUGGUGGAUAUUUGUGUACCUGACUGUGAUUUGCAUUUCCCUUUCAGCUCUGCUAAUUCCACAGUUUUUUGUACUAUUAUCCUGUGAACUGAACACUGAGUAAUUUUCAUGUUUAAGAAGUCACUAGCUGUAGAUUUGUUUAAAAAAUGUGAAGAUUAAGUUCUUAGGGACAUGGUUUAGAGGUGGACCUGAUUGUGUUGCGUUAACAGUUGGACUUGAUAAUCUUAAAGGUUUUUUCCAAUCAAAAUGGUGCUAUGAUUCUAUGAUUCUAUGACUGGUGCUUUGUGGGGAAACACUGCUCUGAAGAGCCAGAGUUGAAUGUUUUUUCCUUGUGUGGGUUUUUUUUACUGAUUCCAAAAGUAUUGUGAUCAAUAUGCUAUUUAUAAGAUGAAUUAUGACCAGGACCUUUAGAAACUGGCCUGUGUCUAAAAGCCUUCACAUCUGCUAGUACUAACCUAUCACUUUUUUCUAGAGAUCUAGCAAAAGGUGGCCUGAACCAGAAAUAUUCUUUACUGUUCCCACACAGAAGGGCCAAGCCUAAACUCCAGGACUUUUCAGCCUGAGGCAAAAGCUUCCAUGAAAAUUGAGUGGAAUAGGUGAUUAAGGUAAGGCUCAUGCUAGGAGUUGCAUAAACAGAGCAUCAUAAACAUGACGCUGUCAGAGGGCGGACUAAGUGUGCCAAGACAGACCUAAUGUAAUAAGGAAGUCAAGUUUUUGUAAGCAAAAAAAUCCUUAUAACUAAACUUUUUCCCUUGAAAUACUUGCUUCCAUGUUCAUGCAUUAAAAUCUAUGAAUCAUUUCAAAAGAAAACAAAAAAGGGAGAUAGUAUAGAAUUGUAUAGAAGACUAUCUAGAAGACUGUAGAAGACUACAUCUAGAAGACUGUAUUCAAUCUCAUAAUCCUCAAAGGUGGCAUUACCUUCCCACUCACAUAUGCACACACAAAAUAAAAAAAAAAAUAGGUAAAAUAAACCGAUCAUCACCUUAGAUAUAUUUUGACAAAUUGUUCCAUCAACACAUAUGCAGCAUUCUCAAGUUUAGAACAUGACAUUUGGAUUCCUAAAAAAAGUUCUGGAAAUGGUUGCAGUGCAUAAUUUUGAUAAAAGAAACAGAUAUUUUAAUAAUUUCACUUAACCAUGUAAAUUAAAAGUAUUUCAGCUGCACAGUGGUGUUGUGGUUUAACCCAGCAGGUAGCUGAACACCACACAUCCAUUUGCUACACCCCCCCGGACCAGUGAGAUAGGGGAGAAAAUCAGAAAAAAAAAAUUCUUGUGGGAGUUUUUUAAAUUUUUCUUUGCAUAAUGUAUGUUUUGAUGUCAUAAUGCUUUUAGCAUGCCUCUUUUGAAGGUUACAUAUGUUUUCUCCCAUUUCUGAAUAAAUGUUUUUUCUGUAGGUGUUAUACGGAGGGAAGUUUUGGAAGUUUACUGUGCACCAGGUGCUCUUGAGUGAACAUAACUCGUUUCAGACUCAUUUAAAAUGUAUCGAAUAAGAUGAUUGCUUACCAACUGCACAUAUUACAAUUUCACUUCUAGGGCAGAAUAUUUCUGUUAGGCCUCUCUGCCUGCCUACACUGCACAUUCUGACCUCCACUUCCAUUUUAUCUUUAUAAACAUAACCAUCACUAUCAAAUACUGUGGUAAAAUCAUUUUAAGAAAAGUGAAAGAAAAAAAAAUAUGUCUGUCUUAAAAUCAAUAUUUCCUACUACUCAAAAAAAAAAAUAUCUAACUAUUAAUACUAGUCUUCUUUAUCUUUGUACUAGCAAGUUAUUACUUGGUAUAAAAAGUGAUUUUUACAUCUUGAAAUUUCUUCACUAUGAGCCCUCCAAAACUAUGCAGUAUUUGAUCUAUAGUUUAGUGUUAGCUAUACCCUUUCUGCUUUUUGCCACUGGUUGUUACUAGCUAAAGUAGGAAAAAAGAAGUGAAAGUAUGCUGGUGCACACUCCCAAAGAUUAACUUUUCUGAGUCUUUGUCAGUCUUUAAAUAUUGAACAGUAUGUGACAUUGGUUCUUUUUAGUCUCUUUAAUGCAAAUUAAUGGAUUGAAAGUAAAAAAAGGAAAGUUUCAUAGAAAUGUUCAGUUUUGGAAAAGUGGCAUAAAAAAAGGAAUAAAACCUUAAAUCUGCAAUCUUGUAGGAAAUCUUGUAUAGUUUAUAUAUUAGUUUUGCUGGUAGUGCUACUUAAAAUAAAAUUCACCUAGACUUUCUGUCUUUUUUGAGUCUUUUUCUGUCUUUUUUUCUUUAAUUGUCCUCUGCUCUUGCUUAUUGUUCUUGUAGCUCAUCCCAUUAAAUAAAACACUGAUUAACAGGAGGGAUAAAUACUGUUUUUCAUUUAUUUUUUCUAGACAGGCCACUAUGUUGAUCUGCCUGUCCUAUCAAUGCCAUUUUAAUCCUGCAAAAAAUCAGGUAUGUCCAAAAUGAGAAAACUAAUUAUAACUUGGGCAAUAAAUGAAACUUGUUUUACUCACUUUCUGGGCUAUUCAGAAUCUGAACGGUUAAGCCACAUUUCAUUUCUUUUAGAUAACACAGUCAGGGUCCUCUCACAAGAGUGUGUGCAGUGACCAGUAAAGGGAAAGUUGAAGAGCUCUUCAGAAAGUGUAUUGAGCUCCACACUACCUUAUACUUUUUGGCUAAGCUAAAUUGUGGCCUAAACCCUGUACUAGGCACACUAUACUGCAGUGAAAUGAGUAUUUUGUGGCAGUUUCUUUAGAUUUC